GCGGGAGUAGCUCAGUCGAUAGAGCAUUAGCCUUCCAAGCUAAGGGUCGCGAGUUUGAAUCUCGUCUCCCGCUCAA
rnacentral:tRNA from 3 species